UCGUUUGGGGGUUUGUUGGUUUGUUUGUGAUUCGAGAUGUUGAGUUUUGUAUUUCAUGUAUUCACUUCAUACUUGUUCGACCUGUAAAGUCGAUUUCUAAGGAGUAUCUCUGGUGCCAGUGACAGUCGCCGCUUGGACGCCCCACCACGCAGUUUGUCCCUGUUCCCCUCUGUUGCAAAAGGCCAUCCAGAGUUGAUCUUCCCCGCUGGCUGCUGUUGAGCGGCACAGGUUCUCGUUAAUGGAGCCUCGACGCCGCUAAGUCCCGGACGAGAGAUCUCCUUCGCCUCCUUGAUCAGCAAAGCCUCGAAAGGUGUGUGCCGCUAACCAACCACCUUGAGGCGUUAGUACAGCAACAGGCCAGGAGACUGCCACGCACCUUGCUGCCGUGAAUGCCAAGAAGCUUAAAACACAGACGGAGUGCAACAAAUCUUUUUAUUUAUUUAUUUAUUUUAUUUUUUUUACAUCAAUAAGUAUCGAUGAACAUUUACUCAAGAGUGUAAAAGUAAUGCUAAUGUUCGGACAAGUUGUAGGAAGAUUGAGGAAACACCAGCAACAGUGUCACUUCAUUGUAAUGAGUGUUAUGUUCGGACAAGUUGUAGGAAGAUUGAGGAAACACCAGCAACAGUGUCACUUCAUUGUUAAUAAGUGUUAUGUUCUGACAAGUUGUAGGAAGAUUGAGGAAACACCAGCAACAGUGUCACUUCAUUGUAAUAAGUGAGGAAACCGCGCCGCCACGGGUGAGGAAACCAACACAUUACCAGGUGCCACAAACACCUGGACUGUCGGCAGGGAUUAAGGAAAGGCCGCUGAGACGCUGGUGUGGUGCAAGCGUCAUGGCGAGCUGCUGCAGGUGGGUGUUCGUUGUUAACGUAGUUUUUUCUUAUUCGUCGUGGUAAAAAAUAAUAAUAAUAAGACAAACGGAUGCAGGCUGCUGGGGAGUAAUUUUCCGUUUUGCCCAAAACACUAAAAUAUAUUUAAUCUUUCUGCUUCACUUCGAGCAAGCGUAGAACCUCAGAAACGUAGAGCCUCACAAACGACUAUAUUCAAUUAAGUAAAUAUUUGUUCUCGUUCAUGGCAACAUAAGGGGACUCGGGGAGUCAUGGUGAGUUAGACAGAGACGCAUGUUGGGAGGCUGCACGAAACACGACAUAAGUUGGUGAAGCAGUAGUGACUUUCAUGCUGGUCUUCAGCUCUGCUCAUGUUGUACAUACGGACGUAUAUUUUCUUACUGGUACAAUAAUUGUGAAAGUUGAUAACAUUCAAAUCUUUCAAAUCUUCUCUUUAUAAACUUGCACUUUUUUCGGUGACUGCCACUCGCAAGAUUUAUGGCUUUGUUUCUGUUACUCGUAACUUUUAGCAGAACGACGAACGAUAUGGCCCACGUAAUGAGAGAUUAU